CGGGUAGGCGAUAAAGCCCUUCGGAUCCUAAAGCUGUGUGGGGAGAAACAAAACGCUUGGGAGCUAACACCUCUUACUGUAGAAAUACCCCCCGAAGAACUCACCGGCUAUAUCUGUGACAAUAGCCGAGAUAAUACGGAGGGUGCAAGCGUUGUUCGGAAUUAUUGGGCGUAAAGCGCGUGUAGGCGGUCUUUUAAGUCUCAUGU
rnacentral:rRNA from 1 species